AACGAACGCUGGCGGCGUGGAUAAGACAUGCAAGUCGAACGAGAGAAUUGCUAGCUUGCUAAUAAUUCUCUAGUGGCGCACGGGUGAGUAACACGUGAGUAACCUGCCCCCGAGAGCGGGAUAGCCCUGGGAAACUGGGAUUAAUACCGCAUAGUAUCGAAAGAUUAAAGCAGCAAUGCGCUUGGGGAUGGGCUCGCGGCCUAUUAGUUAGUUGGUGAGGUAACGGCUCACCAAGGCGAUGACGGGUAGCCGGUCUGAGAGGAUGUCCGGCCACACUGGAACUGAGACACGGUCCAGACACCUACGGGUGGCAGCAGUCGAGAAUCAUUCACAAUGGGGGAAACCCUGAUGGUGCGACGCCGCGUGGGGGAAUGAAGGUCUUCGGAUUGUAAACCCCUGUCAUGUGGGAGCAAAUUAAAAAGAUAGUACCACAAGAGGAAGAGACGGCUAACUCUGUGCCAGCAGCCGCGGUAAUACAGAGGUCUCAAGCGUUGUUCGGAAUCACUGGGCGUAAAGCGUGCGUAGGCUGUUUCGUAAGUCGUGUGUGAAAGGCGCGGGCUCAACCCGCGGACGGCACAUGAUACUGCGAGACUAGAGUAAUGGAGGGGGAACCGGAAUUCUCGGUGUAGCAGUGAAAUGCGUAGAUAUCGAGAGGAACACUCGUGGCGAAGGCGGGUUCCUGGACAUUAACUGACGCUGAGGCACGAAGGCCAGGGGAGCGAAAGGGAUUAGAUACCCCCGUAGUCCUGGCAGUAAACGGUGCACGCUUGGUGUGCGGGGAAUCGACCCCCUGCGUGCCGGAGCUAACGCGUUAAGCGUGCCGCCUGGGGAGUACGGUCGCAAGAUUAAAACUCAAAGAAAUUGACGGGGACCCGCACAAGCGGUGGAGUAUGUGGCUUAAUUCGAUGCAACGCGAAGAACCUUACCUGGGCUUGACAUGUAAUGAACAACAUGUGAAAGCAUGCGACUCUUCGGAGGCGUUACACAGGUGCUGCAUGGCCGUCGUCAGCUCGUGUCGUGAGAUGUUUGGUUAAGUCCAGCAACGAGCGCAACCCCUGUUGCCAGUUACCAGCACGUGAAGGUGGGGACUCUGGCGAGACUGCCCAGAUCAACUGGGAGGAAGGUGGGGAGGACGUCAGGUCAGUAUGGCCCUUAUGCCCAGGGCUGCACACGUACUACAAUGCCCAGUACAGAGGGGGCGGAAGCCGCGAGGCGGAGGAAAUCCUGAAAACUGGGCCCAGUUCGGACUGUAGGCUGCAACCCGCCUACACGAAGCCGGAAUCGCUAGUAAUGGCGCAUCAGCUACGGCGCCGUGAAUACGUUCCCGGGUCUUGCACA
rnacentral:rRNA from 1 species